rnacentral:rRNA from 1 species
UUNUANCGAAGAACCUUACCCGGGCUAAAUCUNUGNGGACCGUUCCNGAAAAGNGGGUCCCUUCGGGGCACCAUNGAAGGUGNUGCAUGGCGUUNGUCAGCUGGUUCCGUGAGGUGUUGCCUUAAGUGGCCCAACGAGGGCAACCCCCGUGGUUAGUUACCACCACGUAAAGGUGGGGAUUUUAGGCGGACUGCCGGGGCAAGUAGGGAGGAAGGUGGGGAGGACGCCAAUUCAUCAUGGCCCUUUUUUCCNGGGUUGCACCCGUGUUCCAAUGGAUGGUACAAGGGGAAGGCAACCGGNGGGGGGAGGCAAAUCCAAAAAACCAUUUUCAGUUCGGAUUGGAGUUUGCAACUUGACNUCAUGAAGGUNGAAUNGNUAGUAAUNGNUCAA